rnacentral:rRNA from 1 species
UACGUAGGGUGCAAGCGUUAAUCGGAAUUACUGGGCGUAAAGCGUGCGCAGGCGGUUUUGUAAGUCUGUCGUGAAAUCCCCGGGCUCAACCUGGGAAUUGCGAUGGAGACUGCAAGGCUAGAAUCUGGCAGAGGGGGGUAGAAUUCCACGUGUAGCAGUGAAAUGCGUAGAGAUGUGGAGGAACACCGAUGGCGAAGGACAGCCCCCUGGGUCAAGAUUGACGCUCAUGCACGAAAGCGUGGGGAGCAAACAGG